CGCGGCCGCAGAGUUUGAUCAUGGCUCAGGAUGAACGCUAGCGGCAGGCUUAAUACAUGCAAGUCGAGGGGCAGCAUGUCUUGUAGCAAUACAGGAUGAUGGCGACCGGCAAACGGGUGCGGAACACGUACACAACCUUCCUUCGAGCGGGGAAUAGCCCAGAGAAAUUUGGAUUAAUACCCCAUAGUAUAUUGGAAAGGCAUCUUUUUAAUAUUAAAGAUUUAUCACUUGAAGAUGGGUGUGCGGCUGAUUAGGUAGUUGGCGGGGUAACGGCCCACCAAGCCGACGAUCAGUAACUGGUGUGAGAGCACGACCAGUCACACGGGCACUGAGACACGGGCCCGACUCCUACGGGAGGCGGCAGUAAGGAAUAUUGGUCAAUGGACGCAAGUCUGAACCAGCCAUGCCGCGUGGAGGAUGAAGGUCCUCUGGAUUGUAAACUUCUUUUAUAUGGGACGAAAAAAGGUCUUUCCAGAUCAACUGACGGUACCAUAUGAAUAAGCACCG
rnacentral:rRNA from 1 species